rnacentral:rRNA from 1 species
CGAUCGAUGGGAGCUUGCUCCCUGAGAUUAGCGGCGGACGGGUGAGUAACACGUGGGCAACCUGCCUAUAAGACUGGGAUAACUUCGGGAAACCGGAGCUAAUACCGGAUACGUUCUUUUCUCGCAUGAGAGAAGAUGGAAAGACGGUUUCGGCUGUCACUUAUAAAUGGGCCCGCGGCGCAUUAGCUAGUUGGUGAGGUAAUGGCUCACCAAGGCGACAAUGCGUACCCAACCUGAGAGGGUGAUCGGCCACACUGGGACUGAAACACGGCCCAAACUCCUACGGGAGGCAGCAGUAGGGAAUCUUCCGCAAUGGACAAAAGUCUGACGGAGCAACGCCGCGUGAACAAAAAAGGCCUUCGGGUCGUAAAGUUCUGUUGUUAGGGAAAAACAAGUACCAAAGUAACUGCUGGUACCUUGACGGUACCUAACCAGAAAGCCACGGCUAACUACGUGCCACCAGCCGCGGUAAUACGUAGGUGGCAAGCGUUGUCCGGAAUUAUUGGGCGUAA